rnacentral:rRNA from 1 species
GAAGGUGGCCUGUGAGGGUUGCUGGAGGUAUCAGAAGUGCGAAUGCUGACAUAAGUAACGAUAAAGCGGGUGAAAAGCCCGCUCGCCGGAAGACCAAGGGUUCCUGUCCAACGUUAAUCGGGGCAGGGUGAGUCGACCCCUAAGGCGAGGCCGAAAGGCGUAGUCGAUGGGAAACGGGUUAAUAUUCCCGUACUUGGUGUUACUGCGAAGGGGGGACGGAGAAGGCUAUGUUGGCCGGGCGACGGUUGUCCCGGUUUAAGCGUGUAGGUGUGUGUUCCAGGUAAAUCCGGUUCACUUUAACACUGAGGCGUGAUGACGAGGCACUACGGUGCUGAAGCAACAAAUGCCCUGCUUCCAGGAAAAGCCUCUAAGCAUCAGGUAACAUCAAAUCGUACCCCAAACCGACACAGGUGGUCAGGUAGAGAAUACCAAGGCGCUUGAGAGAACUCGGGUGAAGGAACUAGGCAAAAUGGUGCCGUAACUUCGGGAGAAGGCACGCUGACACGUAGGUGAAGUGAUUUACUCAUGGAGCUGAAGUCAGUCGAAGAUACCAGCUGGCUGCAACUGUUUAUUAAAAACACAGCACUGUGCAAACACGAAAGUGGACGUAUACGGUGUGACGCCUGCCCGGUGCCGGAAGGUUAAUUGAUGGGGUCAGCGCAAGCGAAGCUCCUGAUCGAAGCCCCGGUAAACGGCGGCCGUAACUAUAACGGUCCUAAGGUAGCGAAAUUCCUUGUCGGGUAAGUUCCGACCUGCACGAAUGGCGUAAUGAUGGCCAGGCUGUCUCCACCCGAGACUCAGUGAAAUUGAACUCGCUGUGAAGAUGCAGUGUACCCGCGGCAAGACGGAAAGACCCCGUGAACCUUUACUAUAGCUUGACACUGAACAUUGAGCCUUGAUGUGUAGGAUAGGUGGGAGGCUUUGAAGUGUGGACGCCAGUCUGCAUGGAGCCGACCUUGAAAUACCACCCUUUAAUGUUUGAUGUUCUAACGUGGACCCGUAAUCCGGGUUGCGGACAGUGUCUGGUGGGUAGUUUGACUGGGGCGGUCUCCUCCUAAAGAGUAACGGAGGAGCACGAAGGUUGGCUAAUCCUGGUCGGACAUCAGGAGGUUAGUGCAAUGGCAUAAGCCAGCUUGACUGCGAGCGUGACGGCGCGAGCAGGUGCGAAAGCAGGUCAUAGUGAUCCGGUGGUUCUGAAUGGAAGGGCCAUCGCUCAACGGAUAAAAGGUACUCCGGGGAUAACAGGCUGAUACCGCCCAAGAGUUCAUAUCGACGGCGGUGUUUGGCACCUCGAUGUCGGCUCAUCACAUCCUGGGGCUGAAGUAGGUCCCAAGGGUAUGGCUGUUCGCCAUUUAAAGUGGUACGCGAGCUGGGUUUAGAACGUCGUGAGACAGUUCGGUCCCUAUCUGCCGUGGGCGCUGGAGAACUGAGGGGGGCUGCUCCUAGUACGAGAGGACCGGAGUGGACGCAUCACUGGUGUUCGGGUUGUCAUGCCAAUGGCACUGCCCGGUAGCUAAAUGCGGAAGAGAUAAGUGCUGAAAGCAUCUAAGCACGAAACUUGCCCCGAGAUGAGUUCUCCCUGAGACUUUAGGUCUCCUGAAGGAACGUUGAAGACGACGACGUUGAUAGGCCGGGUGUGUAAGCGCAGCGAUGCGUUGAGCUAACCGGUACUAAUGAACCGUGAGGCUUAACCUU